UGGGGAAUCUUGGACAAUGGGGGCAACCCUGAUCCAGCCAUGCCGCGUGAGUGAUGAAGGCCUUAGGGUCGUAAAGCUCUUCGCCUGUGAAGAUAAUGACGGUAGCAGGUAAAGAAACCCCGGCUAACUCCGUGCCAGCAGCCGCGGUAAUACGGAGGGGGCUAGCGUUGUUCGGAAUUACUGGGCGUAAAGCGCGCGUAGGCGGACUGAUCAGUCAGGGGUGAAAUCCCGGGGCUCAACCCCGGAACUGCCUCCAAAACUAUUGGUCUAGAGUUCGAGAGAGGUGAGUGGAAUUCCAAGUGUAGAGGUGAAAUUCGUAGAUAUUUGGAGGAACACCAGUGGCGAAGGCGGCUCACUGGCUCGAUACUGACGCUGAGGUGCGAAAGUGUGGGGAGCAAACAGGAUUAGAUACCCUGGUAGUCCACGCCGUAAACGAUGAGUGCUAGAUGUUGGGAUUUUCGGAUUUCAGUGUCGCAGCUAACGCAUUAAGCAUUCCGCCUGGGAGUACGGUCGCAAGAUUAAAACUC
rnacentral:rRNA from 1 species